AGCAUCCCAAAUUUUCCGGUAGGUACAUGUGUGUGUGGUCGUUUAAUCUUGGCGGUCCAUAGGGAUUGUGGUGUCAGUUUCAACAAACAAUGAUAGUAGGUUUUUGUUAUAAUAUAGGCAAAUGUGGGUUAAGAAAGUUUAUAUUGUAGCUGUUUUAAUGUCUCUUUGCUGCCUGUAACUGUCAAAAUCUACAGGGAAGGCCUUCUUCCCCCUACUCACCAAAAAUUAUAUAAAAGAGAUGAUUUGAAACCUGCCCAACGCUAGGUUGGAUGAGAGGACCACCUUUUUUUAUUGCUUGCCAAUUUAGUUUGGUUGUGACUGGGAUUUGACUAUUUUGGCUUUUUUUAUGCACUAUUUUGGCUGUGACUGGGAUUUGACUUGCUGUUAUUGGUCAUUUUUAGCGACUGUUUUUAUUCUGAUUGUAAAAAGGCCUGCAUAGCAUCUCAUGCCAAUUUUUUUUUGGCUGCAUAUGAGCAUUGGGAAACAGUGGAAGGAGUUUCUCGACUACAAUGAGACGAUAGGAUUUAUAUUCCAUGAUGAUGCAAAGAAACUUGACAAAGCUGCCAAGAAUCGGUACACAGUAUGAUUGAUGUGUAUGCCAAGAGGAUGCAAGAUGUUUUCUGGUUGCUGCCUCAUCCUAGAUACCAUUCUAGGGCUUGGUCUGAUGAGUUGUCCCUGCUUUGGACUAUUUUCCAUUUUGUGAAAGAAAUUUACAAUGAUAAGCUGAAUUAGACUUCCUUAA